rnacentral:rRNA from 1 species
GACAUAGGUGGCAAACGUUAUCCGGAAUUAUUGGGCGUAAAGGGUGCGUAGGUGGUUCAAUAAGUUACUGGUGGCAAAUCGGGGCCCAACCCCGUGGAAGUCAGUAAUACUAUUAAACUAGAGGAUCGGAGAGGUUAAUGGAAUUCUAUGUGUAGCGGUAAAAUGCUCAAAUAUAUAGAGGAACACCAAACGGCGAAGGCAGUUAACUAUUCGGUUCCUGACAUUGAGGCACGAAAGCGUGGGGAGCAAGACGG